CCAAAGGCUCUUUUCAGGGCCACUUAACCACCUCAGUGAAAGAAUCU
rfam:Pongo abelii chromosome 1.